AUUGAACGCUGGCGGCAGGCCUAACACAUGCAAGUCGAGCGGAUGAAGGGAGCUUGCUCCUGGAUUCAGCGGCGGACGGGUGAGUAAUUCCUAGGAAUCUGCCUGGUAGUGGGGGAUAACGUCCGUAAACGGGCGCUAAUACCGCAUACGUCCUGAGGGAGAAAGUGGGGGAUCUUCGGACCUCACGCUAUCAGAUGAGCCUAGGUCGGAUUAGCUAGUUGGUGGGGUAAAGGCCUACCAAGGCGACGAUCCGUAACUGGUCUGAGAGGAUGAUCAGUCACACUGGAACUGAGACACGGUCCAGACUCCUACGGGAGGCAGCAGUGGGGAAUAUUGGACAAUGGGCGAAAGCCUGAUCCAGCCAUGCCGCGUGUGUGAAGAAGGUCUUCGGAUUGUAAAGCACUUUAAGUUGGGAGGAAGGGCAGUAAGUUAAUACCUUGCUGUUUUGACGUUACCAACAGAAUAAGCACCGGCUAACUUCGUG
rnacentral:rRNA from 1 species